CACACACACACACACACACUAAAAUCCUGUGGGAGGCCUCUGGUUAGAGACUUGCAGAGCACAAUCCCUGCCUGGAAUGGAAGGUUUUGAGUACGAAUUGCCAUUUAAAACGACUGGACUGGACCUUCCUCUCUCAAAAUUGACAACGAGACCUACACCUUUAAACAAGCCUACAAAAAGAACAAAGGAAAUGAAAAUCUGCCCGCACAGGUCUAAACAGACUGAAAAUCCCCAAGGAUCUAUCUAGGUGAUAUGGUUAGAUUUCCUGAGGCCCCUAUGUGAACUGACUCAACCCUGGCUAUGUUGAUCUGAAAGAGAGGACCAUUUCCACCACUGACUGCUCAUGAUGCCACUGCUUUUCUGAGGAAUAAGAUUUUUCAGUCACAUAACUAAGGAGUGUUGGAGCUGAAAUACAAACCCAGCAGAACCAGUACACCUUAUGUUUUAGGUUGCUCUGUUCUUUUCUCUAUACAGGAUCACCUUUUGGGCAGACAGCCCUUUUUAGUGCACUAUUAUUGCCCUUUGAAGAAUCAUCCUUGUACAGUAACUGCUUCCGAAGCAUCCUGCCUUCACCGUACUCCAGUAGCCAUCCCCAGCCCUGAAGCCUAGAAGCAACCUCUCCAGACUGCUCACUCAGGGCUUUCCCAUUGCACAGCUGGCUGCGGGAAGCAGAACUUUAUCGUAACUGUCUAUUCUAGUCGGCAUAAAUGGACAAGCCUUGCAUCUGGACCAUCUCCAGGAAAUCCAUCCCAAACCCUGAAUGGUCCUGGCCCUGCUCCAAAACUGUACUAACCUCCCACAAAUUGUGAUUCCAGACACGUUUAUACCUUGACCCUCAGGAUAAUGGAAGCCACAAAAGAGGCAGAAAUUAAAAUGUCAGUCCAGCUGGGCCCACAAUGUGGGCCAGUGAUUACAAUAGAACCAAAUGUCUCUUGGGGCACCUGAGGGUAGCACGCUUGUGCUUUCCAUAGUAGGAACAGAACCAUCCAGAGAUAUUUCCUACAUGCUUAGCUACAGUAAUUAUGACGUGCUACUUAUCAACCAAGAUUUUAAUGAGCAAUUGGAAAAAAUAGACCAAGUACAAAACAAUUAUGAGAAUUCUGGUGACCUUUGUCACACGCCUUUCAUUGCCAUUUUAUGAAAACUAAACAUCCCAAAUUAUUGUUUGAUGGAGGCCGUAAGACAAGAUAGAGUAUUGUUAUUCUCUACCAAAACGAGUGAGGACCACUCAGAUCUUCCCAGUGGCCUCAGGUCCUGAAAGGCAAGCACUAUAUGAUGCCAUUGCAGAUGGAAAGAGUAUUCACAGCAAAGGGGACAGGCCUUAGAAUAAGGGAAACCAAGGACGUAGGGUGACAUAGGGUUCAAGCUAUGUAGACAUUGCCCAUCUCAGUUUUUCCUUCCAUCCUUAACAGCCCCAGCCAUUGGCAGGAGCCACUCAUUUUACCCAAGGCUGUCUGAUGUUCUUUGUGCCUCUGAAGGUGCAGAGUUAAGUGCUUCUGUGGCACAUCUGAGAGUCUUUGCUAGGCUAGGUCUGGAAGCAAGCACCCCACUUCUGGUGUGCAGAGAAGAAGAAGCGACCCCUUACCCCCACCCCAAACAGCUCUUCAGCAUGGAGAGGCAGUGGUCCAGUGAACAAAGAAAACCUGCCACCUCUCUCCCAGCAGCUCGCCUGUCCCCUUGUAUCUUCAUGCAGGAUGGACACACAAUGUUGUGACACACCUGCUGCCCACGGUUUUAUGGCUUUUGUGUUUGAGCUUUCUUCUUCACUAGACUAGAUGUUUUGUGAGGACAGUUUUCGCUAUCAUCCUAUCUUUAAUAUGAAAACUUUUGGGACAGAAUAAUCAACUCAAUGAUGUUCUAGUUACUAUCACAGCAACAGUGAAUUCUUAGUGGACAGUGGAUUCAUUGCCUGGGUUUGUUUGUUUGUUUAUUUAUUUAUUGGUGUUUUUUGUUUUGUUUUGAGACAUAGUUUCUCUAUGUAAC